rnacentral:lncRNA from 1 species
AGAGAUUAUUAUAUAAACAAAAAAAAAAUUGGUACCAAGUAAAAAUAGGCUCCAAAGAAUCAGUACCAGCGGAAUCUAUUACCGGGGAACUAACACUACAUGGCAGGCCCAGGCUACUUCAAACUCAAUUCAGAUGUAGCAUAUGUCCGAUCUAUUGGAAGGCGAAGUUGGCUUUUCUGUCUCUUGAACCUCCACUGGCUCCCUUUUCAGUGGAGAACUCAGGACUUGUUUCUGCAAAUGACCUCUCAGUGACAAAAGCCUGUACCCUUAGAGAUGCAGUCAGAUUUGCAAGCUCCUUUAAGAUGGAUAAAUUUGCUCGCGAAUCUAACUCUUUAGUGGUCAUCCAAAGCAUUAAGAGCCACGAAGAGAUCCUUAGGAGAUUAAAGCUGUUGUUGAGGAGAUUGAACUCCCUAUUAGAACAGUUUUCUCAUUGCUCUUUUAACUAUGUCGAAAGAUCUUGUAAUGCAGCAGCAGAAUUUUGUAUAAUUAUACUUGGCCAUCUGUAGUUGCAAGUGCACUAGAAAGAAUACUUUUGAAGGAUGCAUCUCCUCCUCCUAUUACAUUUAAGUGGAAAGAAAAAAAGAAAAAGAAAAACA